CCUACGGGCGGCAGCAGUGAGGAAUAUUGGUCAAUGGACGAGAGUCUGAACCAGCCAAGUAGCGUGAAGGAUGACUGCCCUAUGGGUUGUAACCUUCUUUUAUAUGGGAAUAAAAUGUUCCACGUGUGGGAUUUUGUAUGUACCAUAUGAAUAAGGAUCGGCUAACUCCGUGCCAUCAGCCGCGGUAAUACGGAGGAUCCGAGCGUUAUCCGGAUUUAUUGGGGUUAAAGGGAGCGUAGGUGGAUUGUUAAGUCAGUUGUGAAAGUUUGCGGCUCAACCGUAAAAUUGCAGUUGAAACUGGCAGUCUUGAGUACAGUAGAGGUGGGCGGAAGUCGUGGUGUAGCGGUGAAAUGCUUAGAUAUCACGAAGAACUCCGAUUGCGAAGGCAGCUCACUGGACUGCAACUGACACUGAGGCUCGAAAGUGUGGGUAUCAAACAGGAUUAGAUACCCUGGUAGUC
rnacentral:rRNA from 1 species